AAAGCGUGCGCAGGCGGUUAUAUAAGACAGAUGUGAAAUCCCCGGGCUCAACCUGGGACCUGCAUUUGUGACUGUAUAGCUAGAGUACGGUAGAGGGGGAUGGAAUUCCGCGUGUAGCAGUGAAAUGCGUAGAUAUGCGGAGGAACACCGAUGGCGAAGGCAAUCCCCUGGACCUGUACUGACGCUCAUGCACGAAAGCGUGGGGAGCAAACAGGAUUAGAUACCCUUGU
rnacentral:rRNA from 1 species